rnacentral:lncRNA from 1 species
UACAGUCGUUAGAAUGUCUGGGAUAUUAUGAGGCUGUCGUUCUUGACCCGGAGAAGUUGCUAUUGCUGUAUGGAUAAGGAUGAUUGGGAAAAAGGGCUUCGUUGCGGGUUUGUUGGUACUGUUUCCCAACAUCAAACGUGGCCAUCAUCUGAUUGAAUCAACAGCGGUGAAAGCUACUUCGUGCAUGUAAUUUCGCUGACAAAGUCUUCAAUAUCAGUGGUUGAUUCAUCUUGAACCAAUUAUACAAUAUGGAAACGGAACCAAAAUAACAAAUGAAAUGAAGCAGUCAACUGGAAUAUUUUGUAUGACUACAACAUCUAACGCAGCUGCAGAUGAAGCAAUCAGCUAGAGGAUUUUGUACAACUACAAUUGGAGCGAUUACGUUUUUGACCAAGCUCCAGCAACAGCUUUUGCUAGAUUAACUUAUAGCCCUUUUUAGAACUAGGAUUUAUGCACCAGCUCCGGUUGAAUAAGCUUCAACUAAAAUGUAAACUGUAUAAAACCUCUUUUACUAUUUCAAUAGUAUGUAGCAAUUUCUUUUUUGUAUUUCUUGAGUUUUGUAUUUCUUAAUGUUGUCCUUAUGACAAAGGACAGCUGCUUAGUCAAUGCAUGCAUUCAUGUUUAAAAUGCAUGAGUUUAUGAUUUUGAACAAGUCCAUAUUUAAUGCUUGACAUUGUACCUGAUAUGAUUUCGGCUCUUGGUAUGGAAAAGUUUAA